CGUUACAGAGAACCCCAAACAACCCAAUCUGCUAAUCUCCAAUACCGCUUUGUACUUACGAUCUUAUAUCUACUGACUGUCUUGUUAGAUUAACCCAAUAAAUUUCAUUCACUCCGCAUACUCAAUCCUAUAGACACCCUUUUAAUUCUUCAAUCACAGACGUAACUCGAUUUCACAAAACAGUCAAGAGUAAUCAAACCCACUUCAUUAAAAAAUCCCGAUUCACUAUUACAACACUGACUUCAGCAACAAUUGCCUCACUCUUCCCAAAACUCUAUGAAGAAGAAAAAUCCAAUUCUCCGUCUUUUCUUCCCCGACCCGAAGCAUGAAGCUCCUCUCCAAUCCCCUUUGAUCUUCAAAAACCUCCAAUGAAACUGAACUAGUAACCUUGAAAAAAAACUUGAAGCUAGCUCUUCGAUCCAAAAAACCCCCCUAAAACUUAUUCUCCCC
rnacentral:lncRNA from 1 species